UUCAUACUCUCUCCGUCCAAUAAAAGAUGUCUCAAAUUUGUCAAAAUUUGAAUGUAUCUAGACAUGACUUAGUGUAUAGACGCAUUCAAAUUUGGUCAAAGUUGAGACAGCCUUUGUUGGACGGAGGGAGUAAUAA
rfam:Brachypodium distachyon strain Bd21 chromosome 2, whole genome shotgun sequence.